UUGAACGCUGGCGGCAGGCCUAACACAUGCAAGUCGAGCGGAUGAAGGGAGCUUGCUCCUGGAUUCAGCGGCGGACGGGUGAGUAAUGCCUAGGAAUCUGCCUGGUAGUGGGGGAUAACGUCCGGAAACGGGCGCUAAUACCGCAUACGUCCUGAGGGAGAAAGUGGGGGAUCUUCGGACCUCACGCUAUCAGAUGAGCCUAGGUCGGAUUAGCUAGUUGGUGGGGUAAAGGCCUACCAAGGCGACGAUCCGUAACUGGUCUGAGAGGAUGAUCAGUCACACUGGAACUGAGACACGGUCCAGACUCCUACGGGAGGCAGAAGUGGGGAAUAUUGGACAAUGGGCGAAAGCCUGAUCCAGCCAUGCCGCGUGUGUGAAGAAGGUCUUCGGAUUGUAAAGCACUUUAAGUUGGGAGGAAGGGCAGUAAGUUAAUACCUUGCUGUUUUGACGUUACCAACAGAAUAAGCACCGGCUAACUUCGUG
rnacentral:rRNA from 1 species